rfam:Loxodonta africana unplaced genomic scaffold scaffold_193, whole genome shotgun sequence.
CUCUGGGUGGCACAAAUGGGGAAGCACUUGGCUACUAACCAAGAAGUUGAUGGUUUGAAUCCACCCAGAGG